GUGCAUGAUAAUUGAAAAUGACUCCUGCAAAUAUAGCUCUCUAUAAAAUUAGAACAACAGUCCUGAUAAAGAAGUUGCAACAAGUUCAAACCUCUAGGAAAUAAUUUCAGAAACACCAGUCAUACUGAAAAAAGCCCGUGAGCAAUGUUACAGCUACUGUAUUAGUGAAUUAUGCAUAUAUGAUCUCUGCAUUUAACUCUAUCAUCAUAAGAGAUGCACAAAAAGAACAGACAACAGAAGAAGAUUACAAAGAUUCCAUCAGCAUGAGAAAG
rnacentral:misc_RNA from 1 species